rnacentral:rRNA from 1 species
CUAGCCGUAAACGAUGUCCGCUAGUUGCUUGAGAGUAAUCUUAGGUGACGAAGGUAACCCAUUAAGCGGACCGCCUGGGAAGUACGAUCGCAAGAUUGAAACUCAAAGGAAUUGGCGGGGAGGCGCACAACCAGUGGAGCAUGUGGUUUAAUUCGAUACAAAGCGAAGAACCUUACCUGGGUUUGACACCCCGUUCUUUCAGACUGUUACCCGAAAGGGACUAACAGGAUUCUGUUUUUAUAACAGAAAGAGCGGGACAGCUAC